UUAAAAACUAUAACUCCUACAGUGAAGAGCUUUAUAUUGUGAGAAUCACAAGACCCAGACCUACAUUUUGAUGCAUAGUAUGUCUCUGAAGUCUUAAAAUUGAAGGCACAGUCGCAGUUUAGAAAUUGCACUUCAAAUUUGAGCUUUGCAGAGUGAAGUUUCAAUGAAUGUCAAUGGACGGCGUUGGUUGCAAACAAAUGGUCAUAUUGUGAAAACUAUCAGGACUACGGCUUAGCCGUUGACAUGUUUAGUGGCAGC